rnacentral:rRNA from 1 species
ACGCUCGACACCUACGGAAGGCAGCAGUAGGGAAUCUUCCACAAUGGGCGCAAGCCUGAUGGAGCAACACCGCGUGAGUGAAGAAGGGUUUCGGCUCGUAAAGCUCUGUUGUUGGAGAAGAACGUGCGUGAGAGUAACUGUUCACGCAGUGACGGUAUCCAACCAGAAAGUCACGGCUAACUACGUGCCCGCAGCCGCGGUAAUCUGAGCGGGCUGGCAAGGC